rnacentral:misc_RNA from 1 species
GUAACAAGGUUUCCGUAGGUGAACCUGCGGAAGGAUCAUUACUGAUUUGCUUAAUUGCACCACAUGUGUUUUUCUUUGAAACAAACUUGCUUUGGCGGUGGGCCCAGCCUGCCGCCAGAGGUCUAAACUUACAACCAAUUUUUUAUCAACUUGUCACACCAGAUUAUUACUUAAUAGUCAAAACUUUCAACAACGGAUCUCUUGGUUCUCGCAUCGAUGAAGAACGCAGCGAAAUGCGAUACGUAAUAUGAAUUGCAGAUAUUCGUGAAUCAUCGAAUCUUUGAACGCACAUUGCGCCCUCUGGUAUUCCGGAGGGCAUGCCUGUUUGAGCGUCGUUUCUCCCUCAAACCGCUGGGUUUGGUGUUGAGCAAUACGACUUGGGUUUGCUUGAAAGACGGUAGUGGUAAGGCGGGAUCGCUUUGACAAUGGCUUAGGUCUAACCAAAAACAUUGCUUGCGGCGGUAACGUCUACCACGUAUAUCUUCAAACUUUGACCUCAAAUCAGG